rnacentral:rRNA from 1 species
UACGUAGGUGGCAAGCGAUACUCGGAAUCACUAGGCGUAAAGCGCAGGUAGGCGGCUCGAUAAGUCUCUUGUGAAAGCUCCCGGCUCAACUGGGAGAGGUCAAGGGAAACUGUUGGGCUAGAGUGUGGUAGAGGAAACUGGAAUUCCCGGUGUAGCGGUGAAAUGCGUAGAUAUCGGGAGGAAUACCUAUGGCGAAAGCAGGUUUCUGGGCCAUCACUGACGCUGAGCUGCGAAAGCGUGGGGAGCGAACAGG